CAGAGACAGUAAUAAAUAUGGUUGUUUACACCUCUGUACCUCAUAAAGACCUCCAAGCAUUCUGUACACCAGCUCAAGAUGACUUGCUUUUUUGGAAAGAGAAAAGGAAAAGUGCAGCUGACUGAACUGUGAAGCAAAGGAGCUAAGAAGCCUGGAUGCCAACCCCAAGGGUCCUGAAGAGUCCCACUGAGGAGCUCCUUACAGCAGAAAGCCCAUUUCUCAGAGGCGCAUACAUGGUCCA
rnacentral:lncRNA from 1 species